rnacentral:lncRNA from 1 species
UUAAUCGAGUAGACUUUUUUAUUUUAUUUUAUUUAUCUUAUUUUAUUUUAUUUUAUUUUAUCUUAUUUUGUUUUAUUUGAUUUGAUUUGAUUUGAUUUGAUUUAAUUUGAUUUUAUUUUAUUUGAUCUGAUUUAAUUUUAUUUGAUUUGAUUUUAUUUUAUUUGAUUUGAUUUUAUUUGUUUUUAUCUUAUUUGAUUUCAUUUUAUUUGAUUUGGUUUGAUUUGAUUUGAUUUGAUUUUAUUUUAUUUUUUUUAUUUUAUUUUUCUGUUUUUAUUUUUAUUUUUCUUUUUUAUAAAAAAACGAAAAUUAAAACUAAAAUAAAAAUAAAAAUUAUCUUUUACUAUUUUUAUUUUUUGGGCUAAUUUUGUGUUCUAGUGCAGUGUUCUGUAGUGUAUGCACGAAAAAAAAAAUUGGUACUAGGAGCACAAGACCACCAGGAGGCAAAUAAGCAAGGAGAAUUGGUUCACCAACACCCUGAUGUGAAAAGUGACGAACCCUAACCGGGCACACCAAUGAAAUUAAAAAUUAGGUUAUGGGUUGUCAAGACUAUUAAAGCAAGCAGAGCUCUUGAGAUUGAGGAUCUUUAGAGUUGGUGACAAGAAGAUUGUUGGUGUCAUGAAGGAAGGAAGAAUGCCAACGUUAAAAAUCAACACCUACUGAGGGGUGUUUGGGCGUUACCGGGUCAAGCUAAUGAUGUUAAAGAAGCGCUACCUAGGAGGCAACCCAGUUUCUAACCCCGUUUCUGAAUCCUUUUCUUUUCUUUUAUUUUAUUUUAUUAGAUUUUAUUUUAUUUUAUUUUAUUUUGUUAGGGUUAUGUGUUGCUUCUGAUGGCAGUGAUGAUAGCAUCUACUGAUGGAUGCUUCUACAACAUCUACUGAUGGAUGUUAGGUGAUNUGGCAUUUACUG